rnacentral:rRNA from 1 species
GUGCCAGCCGCCGCGGUAAUACGGAGGGGGUUAGCGUUGUUCGGAAUUACUGGGCGUAAAGCGCGCGUAGGCGGACUAUUAAGUCAGGGGUGAAAUCCCGGGGCUCAACCCCGGAACUGCCUUUGAUACUGGUAGUCUAGAGUUCGAGAGAGGUGAGUGGAAUUCCGAGUGUAGAGGUGAAAUUCGUAGAUAUUCGGAGGAACACCAGUGGCGAAGGCGGCUCACUGGCUCGAUACUGACGCUGAGGUGCGAAAGUGUGGGGAGCAAACAGGAUUAGAUACCCUGGUAGUCCACACCGUAAACGAUGAAUGCCAGUCGUCGGGUAGCAUGCUAUUCGGUGACACACCUAACGGAUUAAGCAUUCCGCCUGGGGAGUACGGUCGCAAGAUUAAAACUUAAAUGAAUUGGCGGGG